rnacentral:misc_RNA from 1 species
GGGACAGAGCCAGCGUAGGGCAAUUUAAAAAAUUUUGGGGUUAUAUAUAUUUUUACAGAUCUCUAAAAAUCCUUUAGUGCAGCUGUAGUAGACCCAAGUUUCUCUCACCAAAAUUCCAGUUGAUAGCCCAAGUUUCUCUCAAGAGAUGGAUUUAGCAUAGGGCUAAGGGGGGCACUGGCCCCACUGAAACUUUAAAUUUUUUAGUGGGUAUAAUAGUAAUUUCGUUAGAAAUUAAUAUUUUUACUGUUAUUAUUAAAUUUUGAUGGGCCACUGCAUCCUCGUGUAUUGUAAAAGCUUUUUCUAUUAGUAAAUUAUUUAAAAAAUUUCAAAUUCUUUGCUAUCCUAUUAAAAUAAUGAUACCAGCAACGAAAUACAAACCGUCUUGCAAAACUAAAAAAAAUCCAAACCAUUAUUGCCUUAUAGCCUUUUACUCUCUAUCAUUUUUAUUUUACCAUUUUUCUCUUCUAACAAAUCCACAAUCACCAACUUCUAUUCUUUGAAAUUUAAAU